rnacentral:ncRNA from 1 species
UUAUUGGAGAGUUUGAUCCUGGCUCAGGACGAACGCUGGCGGCGUGCCUAAUACAUGCAAGUCGAGCGAAUCAAUGGGAGCUUGCUCCCUGAGAUUAGCGGCGGACGGGUGAGUAACACGUGGG